CAGGGGGACGGCGGCGACGCAUGCGCAGAGCCGCGCGGGGCGGGCGGCCUGGUGAGGGGGCGGCGGCGGCCUUUUGGGGGGGGGGUCCCGGACCGGGGUGGGACCGGGGGGAGCGUCCCGGCCCCUCACGACCCCUCCUGGACCCUCCUGCGGGGCAGAGCGGGGGCCGCUUCCCCCCUUCCUGCCCCCACCCCACAGCGCGGGGGCCCCAGAGCCCGCCCAGGGCCCGCCCCGGGCCCGUCGGCGGGAGCCGGAGCCGGGAGGGGCUCGGCCGGGGCCUCCCUGGGGCCUGCCCCGUGUCAGCGCCUCAGCCGGCCCGCGGGGUCCUCGGGAGGUUGGUCCGAGGCCUGUGACCCCGCAGUUAAAGCGACGCCUGGUUGCGUUGUGGUGAAGUGCUGCGGUUCGUUAAAACUUGGAGUAACUCCCCUUCUUUUUCGUCAGAACGGUCCGGGCUUUUCCUUUCCUCCAUGAAACGCGGUCAUGGCAGAGCCGGAGUACGUGCUUUGCAAGCGGAGGGAGCGUUUGUGGCCAGCGAAGGUUUUGUGCAAAAGUGGAGACGCUGGAAAAUCAUCUAUCGCUAAUGCAGAGGAAGCUUCUUUGGAAGUUGAAAUAUUUGGCUUAAAAGAAAAGGUUAGUGUGAAAUCUGCAGAUACAGUUCCACUGAAUGAAGAAUGUAUAGAAGAUAUCGCUUCUAACUUAGGUGAAAAGACAGAUUCUAGUGAAGUUGUGGACGAACUGAAAUAUCGCUGUGCUCUUAGAACUGCUCUGGAUCUUUUGAGAGAAAAUGCAUCAGCCAGACAAGUGCCACAGCUGAAAGAGGGAGUGAGUACUCCGUUGUCUCAGGCAAACAAUAAGGGAUCUCUCUCAUCUACCCCCUUACGGGGCUGUCGGUCACUCCUUCACCAGUAAAGAAAAGUUGGAGGCUGAGACUCCCAAGAAGAAACAUGGAGAGAAAAAAUAGCCCCAACCUAAAGACUGAUAUAAGAAAACAAAAGCAGAAAUGUUCUCUUCUUUU
rnacentral:lncRNA from 1 species